GCGGAUCUCUUAAAGCCGUUCUCAGUUCGGACUGUAGGCUGCAACUCGCCUACACGAAGCUGGAAUCGCUAGUAAUCGCGGAUCAGCACGCCGCGGUGAAUACGUUCCCGGGCCUUGUACACACCGCCCGUCACACCAUGAGAGUCUGUAACACCCAAAGCCGGUGGGAUAACCUUUAUAGGAGUCAGCCGUCUAAGGUAGGACAGAUGAUUAGGGUGAAGUCGUAACAAGGUAAC
rnacentral:rRNA from 1 species